rnacentral:rRNA from 1 species
GAAAUGCGAUAAGUAAUGUGAAUUGCAGAAUUCAGUGAAUCAUCGAAUCUUUGAACGCACCUUGCACCCUUUGGUAUUCCGAAGGGUACACCCGUUUGAGUGUCAUUGUAUUCUCACACCCGAGGAUUUUCGAAUCUGAGGGACUGUGGACUUGGACGUAUUAUGCCGCGUCACUGCGGCUCGUCUCAAAUGCAUGAGUAUGACUGGCUUGCCAAGUGUCAUCUGGUGUGAUAAGCAUCUUCACCGGAGUUAGGGACCCUCUCAGAGGAACCCGCACUGGGCUCGCCUUAGGUUGGCUGCAAACCGUCUUCGGACAAACUACCUUGACAAUUUGACCUCAGAUCGGGUGGGACUACCCGCUGAACUUAAGCAUAUCAAUAAGCGGAGGAAAAGAAACU